rnacentral:tRNA from 2 species
CGGAGUGUAGCGCAGCCUGGUAGCGCACCUCGUUCGGGACGAGGGGGUCGGAUGUUCGAAUCAUCUCACUCCGACCA